rnacentral:lncRNA from 1 species
GCCGGAUCUGUCUCUUCUAUCCUUGCCUUCUUCGCCAACCCAGAAGUUGCGGCGCCUUUCCUCUUGUGGGCCUUGAGACUCUUGGCUAACAUCCGAGCCACGUCUGCAUCCAUAUCUGCAACGAAAGAAGAUCGACACAGCUUAGAAAUAGAGCCACAAAAAAAGAAGGAAGUGGAAGUCGAAGCCCAGUGUGGAAAGCUUCUUGGUAUAAAUAGAAGCAGCCAGGAGGAGGGAUGCUAGCCCGGCCA